UACGUAGGGUGCAAGCGUUAAUCGGAAUUACUGGGCGUAAAGCGUGCGCAGGCGGUUGUGCAAGACAGGUGUGAAAUCCCCGGGCUUAACCUGGGAACUGCAUUUGUGACUGCACGGCUAGAGUGUGUCAGAGGGGGGGUAGAAUUCCACGUGUAGCAGUGAAAUGCGUAGAGAUGUGGAGGAACACCGAUGGCGAAGGCAGCCUUCUGGGCCAACACUGACGCUCAUGCACGAAAGCGUGGGGAGCAAACAGG
rnacentral:rRNA from 1 species